CCGGGUCCGUGGGACCCUGUCUCCUCUCUUGUGUGCCCCAGGCGCCCCUGCCCCUCCUCUGCGCCCCCUCCCCUUCCCUGUGCCGCUGUGAUUUUGUGUGUGUGUGUGGGGGGGGUGACCCGGGCUGGACCGAAGCUGCUUUUCCCGCUCCCCCUCCUCCGCUGGACAGGGGAGGCAAAAUAGAACAAAAAGCUCACGAGUCGCAGUAAGGAUGGGGAGAGCACUCAGCCAUUGCCUUCGCGGGCCUAACAGGCUGAACUUGGGGAAAUGAGUGCGAUUGAUUAGCAGUCAAGUUGGAGCAGGAGAAUGAGCAGUAAAAGCAAAUCUUCAAAGCACCUUUGCUCCAGCCCUCACUUCUGCUGGGCUUAACUUUACUCCCAAUUUUCAUGUCUCCUCCCGGCAGGGGAACAAGGAACAGCAGCUGCGGUCAGUUGAUCACACAUCUGUCUUCUUCUUUCUCCUCCUCAAGCCUUGCUGUCCAAACCCAUCCUGUUUUGAUUGCCUGUAGCUCUCCGUUCUGUUCUUCCGCCCUGCUUCCUCUUAGCUUGUGCCUUUAUAUCUCAUUCUACUGCUCCCUUCUCUUUUACUCUCUCCGCUUUUGUCCUGCUCCCUCUCCUUCUCCCCUUUUCUUCAUCCUGUCUCUGUCCUGCAGCCCAUUGCUGGUUUUCCAUUUACAUCUCUGUCCUGAUCUGUAUCCAUCUCUUUUUAGGUUUUUGUGCCCCCCCCCACCUGCCUCCCCCCAAUUUCUCUGGCCUGUUCCCUGGCGUUCUUUUCCUCCCUGCACCUGUACAUGCUGCUUGGGGUCCAGGGAGAUGUCUGGAGGCGGGGGGCACCUCAGGAAGGUCUGUGUCCAAACAGGCACUUACUACUGUGGAAUUCCUGACUUCCCGCAGGCAUGGGAAUCUCCCAAGCCAACACCAGAACUGUUGUUUUCUUGGUGGUUUUUAAAGGUGACACCAUGAAAGGAUGGGGUAAGAAAACCUGGUACCCUGAGCACAUCAUUUCCAGAGAAACAUGUUGCCUAUACACCUUCAUUUGGGAGGAGGACAGGGAAGAGAGGAGCUCCAAGCAGCACCCUCAAGCUUUUACAUCAGCAGCCAAACAUCUGUGAUUCUCGGCAAAGAGAAAGGAUGAUACUAUUAAAAACAUUGCUGAGUCUGGAUGAAUCCUGUCAAGCUCUUGGUUUCAUCUACAGAUACAUGAAACACUAGAGAAACAGGACUUUUAGACUGUCUACCACGUUGUGGUACCACUUCCCAACAUCAGAGAUCACCAAGCAGGCCACUGUUCAGGCUGCUGCUCACAUGCCAGUCAGAGAAUAUAAUUGCAGGAAUACUUGAUAAAGAGUUUAAAAUGUUCUCUUCCAUGGUCUCCACUAACUGGAAGUUUAUUAACAGACCCUUUGGGGGGUUGGGCGGGGGGAAGACAACUUACAUAAUCUUUCCAACAGGAAUUUGAGAUUCCAGAGAGACAAAUGCAGCCAGUUGUUUUAUUGCAAAUUUAUAGUACUUCAUCUCUCUAUUUCAAACAGAUAAAGGUGGAUAUCAAAAUGAAGUGUUUCCAACACCAUGCUCGUGACUCCAGAGGCCCAGGUAUCCUCUCAAUGCAGAGCUCAAUGAAGAAAAAAAAAAAAGAA